rnacentral:tRNA from 1 species
AGAAUAAUAGUUUAAAAAAUAAUUCAUUUACGGUGAAGAGAUCUUAUAUAAGUAAUUCUA